rnacentral:lncRNA from 1 species
GCCGAGGUCCUCUUCUAGGAUUGGUUGUCCACUCAUAACCAUAAGAUAAUUAAAACGGGGGGGGGCAGGGUAAAAAAAAAACCCUUUUAUCAGCCAUAGGUUAAUGCAAGUGUUUAACAGAUGCUUCGCUAUUAAAAUAUUUCCCCCCAAUACUGAAGAAUCUUAAACCAGCAACCCUAACAGAGAUUGCGAAGAUUUUCAAAGUGGGGCACCUCGAUUUCUCGAAUCUGUGGUGUGGCGAAUAUCCGUGUUCCUCCUGCUUAACUAGCCUGUUUGAAGGCACAGUUCAUUCUCGAGCAAUUCGUCACCUCCUGGGGGUCUUCUCUUCCCGUCUACAGGAGAGUGUGACUUCAGAAAGAACUUCGGAUUGGCCAAGGCCAUUAAAGCUGGUGAGCGACUUGGAAGUCAUUUAGAAAGGAACAGACCUUCAACCUCAAGCCUUUGCGGGCACUGGGAAAGUGUCUUCCCAAUCAAUCUGGCUUGCAGGCGGCAGGACCAACUCUGACCUGGCUUAUCUUGUACCCAUCCUAAAUACACCAAACUCAAGAGGUAGCCAGGGCCGCCUCAACACCGAGGUCAGUGCUCUGGGUGCCUUAGUUUCUCUCUUUAUUCAAACAGUGGUGGAAAUGAAAGAGGGAUGUGAGCUAGAUUAAAAGGAUCAAGGGAGA